GACGAGAGAGAGAGACGAGAGAGAGAGAGAGAGGAGGGGUGAGAGUGACAGAAAGAGAGGAAGACGAGUAGGCCAAAUAUAGAUGA